CCAAGCUGAGCAGGGCAGUCAAUACAUUGGAGGGAAGGGAAGACAUCCAAAGAGACCUGGACAACCUGGAGAAGUUGGCCUGUAUGAACCUAAUGAUGUUCAACAAAGCUAAGUGCAAGUUGUAGUUUCCAUGGAAAUCAAAAGGAGGCGUGACUUUCGGGGUGAUCUACAUGCAUACAAAGCACAGUGCUUUAUGUAGGCAUUUAUUAUUCAAGCUAUGGAGGAAAACAGACAAGGAAGAGGAGAAAAGGAAUAGAAAAAAGUACUGAG